AUCCAGCUGAUGAGUCCCAAAUAGGACGAAACGCACAUCAAACUGGAU
rnacentral:hammerhead_ribozyme from 1 species